GCCCUCGUAGCGCAGCGGAAGCGCGUCCGUCUCCGAAGCGGAAGGCCGGAGGUUCGACUCCUCCCGGGGGCAC
rnacentral:tRNA from 1 species